rnacentral:rRNA from 1 species
ACUCAAAGGAAUUGACGGGGGCCCGCACAAGCGGUGGAGCAUGUGGUUCAAUUCGACGCAACGCGAAGAACCUUACCUGGGCUCGAACGGCCGGUCAACGACUUUGGAAACAGAGUUAUCCCGCAAGGGAGUCCGGUCGAGGUGCUGCAUGGCUGUCGUCAGCUCGUGUCGUGAGAUGUUGGGUUAAGUCCCGCAACGAGCGCAACCCUUGUCCUGUGUUGCCAUGGAGAAAUCCGGAACUCGCAGGAGACCGCCAGCGAUAAGUUGGAGGAAGGUGGGGAUGACGUCAAGUCCUCAUGGCCUUUAUGUCCAGGGCUACACACGUGCUACAAUGGCUGGUACAAAGCGCAGCAAACCCGCGAGGGGGAGCCAAUCGCAAAAAGCCAGUCUCAGUUCGGAUUGCAGGCUGCAACUCGCCUGCAUGAAGCUGGAAUCGCUAGUAAUGGCAGAUCAGCACGCUGCCGUGAAUACGUUCCCGGGCCUUGUACACACCGCCCGU